ACAGUCUACUCAGGAACUAUUUUUAUCAUAGUAUUAUUUAUUGCUUUGUUUCAAUGAAGUACUGAAGCAAAGUUUUCCACUGCCUAUAAAGGGUACCAAGGGUAAGCUGGACUCACUGAGAAUUGACCACAUGUGUUAAUUAGAGCCAGUAUUGUCAUAUGGAAAUUCUGUUAUAGAAAUCAAGAGAGAAUAAAAAGACUAGAAGAUGGACAUAAAGGAGUUCCUCCAAAAGAUAAACAGGUGUUCGUGCCCUCGGUUUUGGAGACCAGACUCCAUCUCUUCAGCACCUAUGGGGAGUAGGACCCUGGAAGCCUUUGCUGCGGGAGGCACCGGCCACGGGCCGAUUAUGGGAAGCAAAAUCGAGAUGUAAAGGCUCACCUGCGGGAGGGGCGGCCCAGAGCAAUCCUGACUCGGACCUGAAUGAUGAGACCAAGGAGUGCUCCGCCCCGGAAACCCGGCCUCUAACCCGAGGAGCCCAGCCUAAUGACCCGGAAGGUGGGGAGCUCGCAGCCAAGGUCACGGCCCUGAGAUUUUUUUCCUGGCAUGAAUGGCUUCUUCUCUUCUUAUAAAUGUGAAGUUUCUUUG